AGCGAACGCUGGCGGCAGGCCUAACACAUGCAAGUCGAACGAACUCUUCGGAGUUAGUGGCGGACGGGUGAGUAACACGUGGGAACGUGCCUUUAGGUUCGGAAUAACUCAGGGAAACUUGUGCUAAUACCGAAUGUGCCCUUCGGGGGAAGGAUUUAUCGCCUUUAGAGCGGCCCGCGUCUGAUUAGCUAGUUGGUGAGGUAAAGGCUCACCAAGGCGACGAUCAGUAGCUGGUCUGAGAGGAUGAUCAGCCACAUUGGGACUGAGACACGGCCCAAACUCCUACGGGAGGCAGCAGUGGGGAAUCUUGCGCAAUGGGCGAAAGCCUGACGCAGCCAUGCCGCGUGAAUGAUGAAGGUCUUAGGAUUGUAAAAUUCUCUCACCGGGGACGAUAAUGACGGUACCCGGAGAAGAAGCCCCGGCUAACUUCGUGCCAGCCGCCGCGGUAA
rnacentral:rRNA from 1 species